UACGUAGGUGCAAGCGUUAUCCGGAUUUACUGGGCGUAAAGGGAGCGCAGGCGGCGCGCCAAGUCUGAUGUGAAACCCCGGGGCUCAACCCCGGGCAUGCAUUGGAAACUGGCGGGCUGGAGUGCCGGAGAGGUAAGCGGAAUUCCUAGUGUAGCGGUGAAAUGCGUAGAUAUUAGGAGGAACACCAGUGGCGAAGGCGGCUUACUGGACGGCAACUGACGCUGAGGCUCGAAAGCGUGGGGAGCAAACAGG
rnacentral:rRNA from 1 species